UACGGGGGGAGCAAGCGUUGUUCGGAUUUACUGGGCGUAAAGGGCGCGUAGGCGGCCACCGCAAGUCAAUUGUGAAAUCUCCGGGCUUAACUCGGAAAGGUCAACUGAUACUGCGGGGCUAGAGUGCGGAAGGGGCAACUGGAAUUCUCGGUGUAGCGGUGAAAUGCGUAGAUAUCAGGAGGAAUACCGAUGGCGAAGGCAGGUCUCUGGGCUGACACUGACGCUCAUGCACGAAAGCGUGGGGAGCAAACAGG
rnacentral:rRNA from 1 species